rnacentral:lncRNA from 1 species
ACAGACUCUCUUAACUCUAUUGGUUCCUCCACAAUCUGUGUCGGAUCUAUCUGAGUAUACAUACCAGUGAUUCAGGUACAAUGCACUGAGCCUGCUAUAUGGCAAACAAAUGGAGAUCAGGAGGAAGCUGAAGAACUGUAACACAAAGAGGCAGCUGGGGAAUCCCAAGAAGCAAUGGGGUGCUGACACUGUGGUAGCCAAGAAAGGCAGCAGAGGGUUUAAAAAGGCAAGAGGUUGUGGAGCAGUCGAUGCUGCAGAAGAAAGAAGCAGUGGGGAACAGAAGAAAGAGCUCCCAACAAGCCAUUUGUAGCAAUUCCAGCUUGAUCUCAUGGCUACAGCAUCUGGAAUAAACGGUCCCAAGGUCACGGAAGACUGGAAAGAGAAAUCUAGUGGUUGAUAUGGGAUGCUUUAAAAUCUAAAAUGUGGGAAAUAAUUAUUUUGACAUGCAUGCUAUUUUCUAAAUCCAGCCAUACCAUCUCAAACCUUCUAUAAGGGAGGAUAGAUGCGAUCUUCUUAUGUGGAGAAACAUCAGCAACCUAUAGUGUAAUAUAAACGGGUCACUGUGCUUGCUAGUAAGCAUGGAAGCCUUGCCCCUACCCAGGAUGUUUUCUUUUAUAGGCAUUAUCUGUCCCCUUUUUAUUUCCUAGAAAAAGACUGAUAGAGACAAUCAACACUCACACCUACAGCUUGCUCUUACCACUCUGUGUUGAUGGCGGGUAUUUUCACCCCACUUUAAGCUGGAAAAACUAAGACUCAGAGCAAUACAGCACCAACAGCAGACCUAGAUAUGUCUGGUGACUCUGAGUCCUAAGAAGAAGAAAAAAAACUCUAGCUUUCCCAGAGAAUGGCCAUUGUUAUUUUUAGAGAGCCUUUAUUUUAUAAUCUUUUUACACAUGUUUGAGAUAGGGUCUUUCCAUGUAGCCCCGACUGAUCUGAAACUCAGCAUGUAUGUAGGCCAGACUGUCCUUAAACUCACAGAGAGUUGCCUACCUCUCUGCCUGCUAAUUAAAUGCUAAGAAUAAAGGUAUAUGCCGCCAUGACUGGCCUUAAUUUAUAAUCAUAAUGUCAACUAGAUCUCU